AUUGAACGCUGGCGGAAUGCUUUACACAUGCAAGUCGAACGGCAGCACGGACUCCGGUCUGGUGGCGAGUGGCGAACGGGUGAGUAAUGUAUCGGAACGUGCCCAGUCGUGGGGGAUAACGUAGUGAAAAUUACGCUAAUACCGCAUACGAUCUAUGGAUGAAAGCGGGGGAUCGCAAGACCUCGCGCGAUUGGAGCGGCCGAUAUCAGAUUAGGUAGUUGGUGGGGUAAAGGCCCACCAAGCCAACGAUCUGUAGCUGGUCUGAGAGGACGACCCGCCACACUGGAACUGAGACACGGUCCAGACUCCUACGGGAGGCAGCAGUGGGGAAUUUUGGACAAUGGGCGAAAGCCUGAUCCAGCCAUUCCGCGUGCAGGAUGAAGGCCCUCGGGUUGUAAACUGCUUUUGUACAGAACGAAAAGGUUUCUACUAAUACUAGGAGCUCAUGACGGUACUGUAAGAAUAAGCACCGGCUAACUACGUGCCAGCCGCCGCGGUAA
rnacentral:rRNA from 1 species